AUUGAACGCUGGCGGCAGGCCUAACACAUGCAAGUCGAACGGUAACAGGAAGAAGCUUGCUUCUUUGCUGACGAGUGGCGGACGGGUGAGUAAUGUCUGGGAAACUGCCUGAUGGAGGGGGAUAACUACUGGAAACGGUAGCUAAUACCGCAUAACGUCGCAAGACCAAAGAGGGGGACCUUCGGGCCUCUUGCCAUCGGAUGUGCCCAGAUGGGAUUAGCUAGUAGGUGGGGUAACGGCUCACCUAGGCGACGAUCCCUAGCUGGUCUGAGAGGAUGACCAGCCACACUGGAACUGAGACACGGUCCAGACUCCUACGGGAGGCAGCAGUGGGGAAUAUUGCACAAUGGGCGCAAGCCUGAUGCAGCCAUGCCGCGUGUAUGAAGAAGGCCUUCGGGUUGUAAAGUACUUUCAGCGGGGAGGAAGGGGUAAAGUUAAUACCUUUGCUCAUUGACGUUACCCGCAGAAGAAGCACCGGCUAACUCCGUG
rnacentral:rRNA from 1 species